UAAUACGAACUGUGCGAACGUUAUUCGGAAUCACUGGGCUUAAAGGGUGCGUAGGCGGUUACCUAAGUCAGGUGUGAAAUCUCUCGGCUCAACCGGGAAACUGCGCUUGAAACUGGGUGACUGGAGUGAGGUAGGGGUGUGUGGAACUUCCGGUGGAGCGGUGAAAUGUGUAGAUAUCGGAAGGAACGCCAGCAGCGAAAGCGGCACACUGGACCUUUUCUGACGCUGAGGCACGAAAGCUAGGGGAGUGAACGGGAUUAGAUACCCCGGUAAUCCUAGCCGUAAACACUGAGCACUGGAGGAGGGAGGCUUCGGCCUUCUUUCUCGUAGCGAAAGCGUUAAGUGCUCCGCCUGGGGAGUAUGGUCGCAAGGCU
rnacentral:rRNA from 1 species